ACACCUCAACUCUCGUGGUUUACCAUGAUGAGCUUGGACUUUGGGGGUCUUGCUGGCCUAUGGUCAGCUCCCCUUAAACGGAUCAGCUUGCCAGUGUUUGGUGGCAUCACAGGUGUGAUAACUAUCUACGCUUGUGGUUUUCCACCAGGUAACCUUCAGUGAUGAAGGUUCUCUGGAGCUCAUAAAUGUCUCUCCUCAGCGAGGACAGCUCUUUGAAC
rnacentral:misc_RNA from 1 species